rnacentral:rRNA from 1 species
CAGCACAAGGGGUUCCACUCCUUGCUCAUGGUGGUUGCAUGGCUCAUUUGGAAACAUCGUAAUGAGUGCGUUUACAAGGGGAGAACUCCUACUGUCUCUCUUCUUGCUCAAGGAAUUCGAGAGGAGGCUGUUCUUUGGUGAUCCGCUAGGGCCAUGGAGUUGGAGUCCCUCUGGUCAUGA